UCCCAUGCGACGUCGUUGGUGUGAACUGUCUCUCAUGCGACGUCGUUGGCUGUAAUAGCUUGCAUGCGACAUCUUCGUUGGAAAAAAUAGCUCCCAUGCGACACACCAUUUACGCGGCUAGUUGGCUGUCCGUUAGGCUGAGAUUUGGUUAGGACACUGGGGGUUAUGUGCUCUGACUGGUGGGGUCCACCUAUGGCCACGUAGUCAAGAGUCAACCGUCCACGACUCGACCGGUGACUGUGUGACCGUGCUCGACUCGCCCGUGCUGGACUGGGCGAGCGGCGCCGCCGUAAGCAUCUUCUCCGGCAGUGGUUUCUUCUCCGCGGUGGUGGAGCGCAUUUCUCGGCAGCGGCAGAGCUAUUGCGAGAAUCGGGCUCCAUUGGAUCCGGGGGUUGUUUCUUCUCCGCGGCCCGGUGGUGGAGCGCCUAUCCCUGCAGCGGCUAUUGCGAGAGAUGGAGCGAGGGCUAGAUGAGAUGGAGCGAGGAGACGGGCUGCCCCGAGGAGACAGUGCUUCAAAUCGGGGAGGUUCAGGUUCUGCCACCACAUUCGCAAUUAUAGUGGAAUUUUUUCCCUGUAAAGCCAAGCUCAGUGAUGGCAGUGUCCAAGACAUUGAUAGAGAUACCACCGUGAGGUUGGAUGUCGAUUUUGCAGAUGUUGAUCCCCAGGAAUUGGAGAUCAUGAAGGAGAAGGCCGUGGGCAAUUUGGUGGAGAGAAUUGGGGAGAGUAUUGUUUGGGGUCCAGAACAAGAGGUAUCUCUGCAACGUUUCGAUAACUAUAAUGGUGAAUAUGUGAGAAUUGAAGAUGGAGAAUCCAUGGUUGCUGAAAUUGAUCAGCAAGGAGGAUGGGC